AUCCUAUUAGCUCAACUGGUAAAGCAAUGUGCAAUUGCAUAUGGUGUAGGUUCGAAACCUUCAUAGGCUG
rnacentral:tRNA from 1 species